AACGCGAAGAACCUUACCUGGGCUCGAACGGCUCCUCAACGAUCGUAGAAAUACGGUUACCCCUUAAAAGGGUGGAGUCGAGGUGCUGCAUGGCUGUCGUCAGCUCGUGUCGUGAGAUGUUGGGUUAAGUCCCGCAACGAGCGCAACCCUCGCCCUUAGUUGCCAGCCGAAAGGCGCACUCUAGGGGGACUGCCACGGAUAACGUGGAGGAAGGUGGGGAUGACGUCAAGUCCUCAUGGCCUUUAUGUCCAGGGCUACACACGUGCUACAAUGGUCGGUACAAUCCGUCGCCAACCCGCGAGGGGGAGCCAAUCGGAAAAAGCCGACCUCAGUUCGGAUUGUAGUCUGCAACUCGGCUACAUGAAGCUGGAAUCGCUAGUAAUGGCAGAUCAGCAUGCUGCCGUGAAUACGUUCCCGGGCCUUGUACACACCGGCUAC
rnacentral:rRNA from 1 species